ACCUGACACAUCCCAGCCAAUCUCCAGCAAACCCUCCCUCCCAGACCCUCCCACCUCCUGGACAGCAUCCAUGUGGAAGCUGCCUUCAACAUGGAUGCUGUCCAGGAGGUGGGAGGGUCUGGGAGGGAGGGUCUGCUGGAGAUUGGCCGGGAUGUGUCAG
rnacentral:miRNA from 1 species